CUGUCUCUAUGGUGACCGCAUCCGGCCGCUCGCUCUGCCCCCGUGCGCGCUCUCUAUGGUCGCUCCCGUGGCUUCUCCGCACCGCGCUCAGUCUCCGCUGGGAUCCCAACGGCUGGUCCCCAACUGGCAACUGGCCGCCCACCGAAAAGACGCGUGCGCCCGCACAGACGCGAAUCCAGACAAAUCCCGACUGGACCAAAGGCGCGUACGUCCAUCUAAGGAAGCUAAGAUCCGGGCAUCUUCGUGAGUGCUGGGGAAAUAAGCGGUGGACGAGAUGGGCAUGGUCCCUGCCCUCAGGAAACUACAGAAUCUUGCUGUGUCGCCCAGGUUGGAGUGCAGUGGUUUGAUCUGGGCUUGCUGCAGGCUUGACCUUCUGGAUGGCUGGGACUACAGAGAUGCGGCUUUGCCAUGUUGCCAGA